GUGUGGGAAGCCACAUGGAGGAGGCUGAGCUGUGACGGGAGCCACCUCAUCUGCCAGCUGCAGAAGUGCCGUGACUACCGAGAGGAACCCCAGGUGGCUGUGGGGGGCGGGGCUCUCCCUGGAAGGGUCUCAGUGCCCAGGAGGAAAGCUCUCCGUCUAACGUGGUAGGAGCGGAUGGGUCUUUCCAUCUCCCGUUGUCCAGCCAGCCCAGCGGUCCACAUCCCCAGAGGGUUCGCCAAUCUCCAGCCCUUGGAGAUCUCGGAGGUCUCCACCUUCUGAAAUCCAUGCUGUACAGAAUUCUUUCCCCUGUGAACAGAGACCCACAGGUCUUGCUUCAUCUCUUCCUGAGCACCCGCCUCUGAGCAGAGCAUGUUGGACUAAUGAUCGGCUGAAUUCCAGCAGUUUCCUGGGAUUUGCCUCAAGUUUGCAGCUGGACACAGAACUACAGUGAUGCUUUGGUGAAGAGUAUGAAGACGUUGUAUAGUGCACCCAGUCCCCAUCCACAGGGGAGUGGCAUCUUGGUGCCUGCCAUCUCACACGGAGAAGGCUCUGUUUCUGGCUCUCUUUUCUGUCCUACCAUCUUCUCCCUUAGACCUCCUAAGGCACCAUUUGGCUUUCUGUAGUUUCAGUUACCUAUGAUCCACUGCUGUCUAAGAGUUCAUAAAUUGUAAACCCUGUGCCUUUCUGAACUCCACACCACCCUGCUUGACUCUCCUGGAAUGUGAAUUACCCUUUGUCCCGUGUGUCCAUGCUGUCUAUGUAGCCCGCCUGUUAGUCACUUAGUAGCAUCUUGGUUAUCAGAUGGACAUGGUGUGCAGUGCCUGUGAUCAAGUAUUAACUUAAUAAA